rnacentral:rRNA from 1 species
CCUACGGGUGGCAGCAGUGAGGAAUAUUGGUCAAUGGGCGUAAGCCUGAUCCAGCCAAGUCGCGUGCGGGAUGAAGGUUCUAUGGAUCGUAAAUCUCUUUUAUAAGGGAAUACAGUGUGGGACGUGUCCUGUUUUGUAUGUACCUUAUGAAUAAGGAUCGGCUAACUCCGUUCCAGCAGCCGCGGGAAUGCGGUGGAUCCGAACGUUAUCCGGAUUUGUUGGGUUUAAAGGGAGCGUUGGGGGCCUUGUAAGUCAGGGGUGAAAUUCUGUGGCCCAACCAUAGAAUUGCCGUUGAAACUGGGAGACUUGAGUAUGUUAGAGGCAAGCGGAAUGCGUGGUGUAGCGGUGAAAUGCUUAGAUAUCACGCAGAACCCCGAUGGCGAAGGCAGCCUGCCAGGCCAUGACUGACGCUGAUGCACGAAAGCGUGGGGAGCAAACAGGAUUAGAUACCCGGGUAGUC